AUUGAACGCUGGCGGCAGGCUUAUCACAUGCAAGUCGAACGAGUGUCGGACGAGUGAGUAAUGUCUCGGCACGUGCCUGAUGGAGGGGGAUAACUACUGGAAAGGGUAGCUAAUACCGCAUACCAUUGGAUGUGCCCAGAUGGGAUUAGCUAGUAGGUGGGGUAACGGCUUACCUAGGCUACGAUCCCUAGCUGGUUGGAGAGGAUGACAAGCCACACUGGAACUUAUACACGUUUAAGACUCCUACGGGAGGCAGGAGUGGGGAAUAGUGGACAGUGGGCACAAUCAGGAGUGAGCCAGGCAGAGUGAAUGAAGAAGGCCUUCGGGUUGUAAUGCACUUUCAGCGUGUAGGAGUUCCUCGCAGAAGAAGAUACGGCUAACUCGGUGCCAGCAGCCGCGGUAAUUC
rnacentral:rRNA from 1 species